GGUAGUCUUCAACUAAUUUAACCACACGUUUAAUUCUUAAAAGACAAAGUGGGGAGUGCCCCAUUUGAGAAUCAACCAUAUUCUGGGGAGUGUCUUGUCUAAAGGACAACCACAUCAUUUCUCUUGCGAGAGGUCGAAAUCACAAAAUCCAGUGGUUGUCCCUCGCCAAAAAAAAGUGAGACAGUCACAAGUCCUUUCAAACCAAAUAAACAAACGUC
rnacentral:lncRNA from 1 species